AGAGUUUGAUCCUGGCUCAGAUUGAACGCUGGCGGCAGGCCUAACACAUGCAAGUCGAGCGGCAGCGACUUAACUGAACCUUCGGGGAACGUUAAGGGCGGCGAGCGGCGGACGGGUGAGUAAUGCCUGGGAAUAUGCCCUGAUGUGGGGGAUAACUAUUGGAAACGAUAGCUAAUACCGCAUAAUCUCUUCGGAGCAAAGAGGGGGACCUUCGGGCCUCUCGCGUCAGGAUUAGCCCAGGUGGGAUUAGCUUGUUGGUGAGGUAAUGGCUCACCAAGGCAACGAUCCCUAGCUGGUCUGAGAGGAUGAUCAGCCACACUGGAACUGAGACACGGUCCAGACUCCUACGGGAGGCAGCAGUGGGGAAUAUUGCACAAUGGGGGAAACCCUGAUGCAGCCAUGCCACGUGUGUGAAGAAGGCCUUCGGGUUGUAAAGCACUUUCAGUAGGGAGGAAGGUAGUGUAGUUAACACCUGCAUUACUUGACGUUACCUACAGAAGAAGCACCGGCUAACUCCGUGCCAGCAGCCGCGGUAAUACGGAGGGUGCGAGCGUUAAUCGGAAUUACUGGGCGUAAAGCGCAUGCAGGCGGCCUGUUAAGUCAGAUGUGAAAGCCCGGGGCUUAACCUCGGAAUUGCAUUUGAAACUGGCAGGCUAGAGUCUUGUAGAAGGGGGUAGAAUUUC
rnacentral:rRNA from 1 species